rnacentral:rRNA from 1 species
GCGAAUGGCUCAUUAAAUCAGUUAUCGUUUAUUUGAUAGUACCUUUACCUGGAUAACCGUGGUAAUUCUAGAGCUAAUACAUGCUAAAAAUCCCGACUUCGGAAGGGAUGUAUUUAUUAGAUAAAAAACCAAUGCCCUUCGGGGCUCCUUGGUGAUUCAUGAUAACUUAACGAAUCGCAUGGCCUUGCGCCGGCGAUGGUUCAUUCAAAUUUCUGCCCUAUCAACUUUCGAUGGUAGGAUAGUGGCCUACCAUGGUCUCAACGGGUAACGGGGAAUUAGGGUUCUAUUCCGGAGAGGGAGCCUGAGAAACGGCUACCACAUCCAAGGAAGGCAGCAGGCGCGCAAAUUACCCAAUCCCAAUUCGGGGAGGUAGUGACAAUAAAUACUGAUACAGGGCUCUUUUGGGUCUUGUAAUUGGAAUGAGUACAAUCUAAAUCCCUUAACGAGGAACAAUUGGAGGGCAAGUCUGGUGCCAGCAGCCGCGGUAAUUCCAGCUCCAAUAGCGUAUAUUAAAGUUGUUGCCGUUAAAAAGCUCGUAGUUGAACCUUGGGCCUGGCUGAUCUGUCCUCCUAAUCGAGCGCACGGAUUCGGUCGGGCCUUUCCUUCUGGGGAGCCCGAUGCCCUUCACUGGGCGUCGUGGGGAACCAGGACUUUUACCUUGAAAAAAUUAGAGUGUUCAAAGCAGGCCUUUGCUCGAAUACAUUAGCAUGGAAUAAUAGAAUAGGACAGAGGUUCUAUUUUGUUGGUUUCUAGGACCGCUGUAAUGAUUAAUAGGGAUAGUCGGGGGCGUCCGUAUUCAAUUGUCAGAGGUGAAAUUCUUGGAUUUAUUGAAGACGAACUACUGCGAAAGCAUUCGCCAAGGAUGUUUUCAUUAAUCAGUGAACGAAAGUUAGGGGAUCGAAGACGAUCAGAUACCGUCGUAGUCUUAACCAUAAACUAUGCCGACUAGGGAUCGGACGGUGGUUUUUUAUUGCCCCGUUCGGCACCUUACGA